UACAUGCGUUGUAAGAUUUGAUUUGACGAAAAAUUUAAAAAAAUUUAUAAAAUUUUUUAGAUCUAAUAAGCCAUGUUUAGUUCACCCUAAAAACCAUAUUUUUUUUUUAAGAUUCCACGCCAUAUCGAAUCUUACGACACAUGCAUAAAACUUUAAAUAUAUACAAAAAGAAAAAAACUAAUUAUAUAGUUUGUCUAUAAAUAAUGAGAUAAAUCUUUUAAACAUAAUUAAUCUAUGAUUGAACAAUAAUUAUUAAAUAAAAAUAAAAAUGCUAACUAAAAAAUAAAAAGUUUUUCGAACUCAACAAGGUCUAAACAAGGCCCAAUACCAUACGGCAUUGCGAAGAAGAUGCUCCGAAGUCCAAAUGACGUGUCGCACUGUAGGAGUACCGUGUAGUAAACUAGUAAAUACUAUAUGCAAAGAAACACGAGCAGCAUAAAAGCCCAACAGUGAGAGCGAAAGAAGGUUGCGACCGAUCCCGAAUUCCCGAUGGAGAUGCGGUUUCCGGCGUCUUUCUCGCCGCCGCAACGUCCAAUUAGCACACUGCUGCACGUCUACCUGUAUGCGUCUGCGCGUCAGCGCGUGCGUCUCGUCGGAGCAGCAGCAUCCCAGUCAAAUCAGUCUGCUUCUCCCUCGCGCGCGAGCUCGAUGAUGCAUGCGUCCGGAGAGAUCAAUGUGAUUGAUGCAACAUCAGUGUUUGGAUCCCUUGCUCGUGAGGGCAGUGGUUACUCGGGCCUUGUUUAGUUUCAAAAAAAAUUGUAAAAUUUUUCAGAUUCUCGGUUAUAUCGAAUCUUUAGACGUAUACAUAGAGUAUUAAAUAUAAAUGAAAAUAAAAAUUAAUUGUGCAGUUUGAUCGGAAUUGACGAGACGAAUUUUUUGAGCCUAGUUAGUCUAUAAUUGGACAAUAUUUGUCAAAUACAAACGAAAGUGCUACUAUUUAUAUUUUGCAAAAAAAAUUUGGAAGUAAACAGGUCCUCAAUUGAGACGUUGUCAUAAUCACCGAUACUGGACG
rnacentral:lncRNA from 1 species